UGAACUUGACUUCAUCGAGCUUGUGAAGAUAUAAUUGAUUCAGAAUGUAUAGUUUAUCGUUACGCAUAGAUUCACACUGUCAAGCGAAAAGUUAACGAUCAAUGUUGAUUAGGCACCUGAAUUGUAAGUGGUUGGUAUCUUGUUGUUAUUUAGACGAGAGGUUACUUAUUCAAAUCCAUUUUCAAAUGAAUAACUUACAAGUAACUGAGUAACUUGUUAGUAAAGAACGAGGUACUAAUCAUGAAUUCAGUUUACACUUUGUAAAUAAAUAUUACUGAAUAAACUGAAUAAAUAAAUGGGCAAUAACAAGUAA